CCUGCUGUGGACUCUCCUUUGCUGACCACGUCAAUCCUCUGCAAAAAAACCUGCAGCUGCCCCGACUGCCCACCCUGCCACCCUGCCGGAGGCGCUCAACCCGCUACGUGUAAACCUUCAGAGAGAAACGGUGUCCACUCUCCACUCUGGCCCCUAGGGAAGAUAAACCGUCCACUUGUGGAAACAUCCAUGAACCAAAGAGAUGCCCACAUUUGAAAACCCAUUAUCAGGAAUAGCCUUUGGCACUUGAAAAAAAAAUGAAAUACUGACAUGCACCUGCUACAACCUGGUGAAAUCUGAUGAAACAGAAGGCGAAGGGACAACAGUACAGCAUGCCACACUGCUGCGAAUUCAACUGUCCCACCGGAAAAAAAAAAAGAUACGCUUAAGUCCUAGUCGCUGGUACCUGUCAAUAUUCUCCGACUUGGAGGUAGGCUCUUUGCACAUGUAAUCAGGGUAGGAUGAGUCGGACUGGUGUCCUCAGAAGAAGAAGAGAGAUUCGGAGACGUGGGAGAAUUCCCCAGGGUGAGGUGUCUAUAAGCCACGGGACACCAAGGGUGGCCAGCAACCACCAGAAACCGGGAAAGACCAAGACCCUCCCCUGGAGCUUCAGAGAGAGCCUGGUCCCAUGGGCUCCUUGAUUCCGGACUUCCAUAAAAAUCUGCAGUCUCAGCAACACCCGCCCUGCCCAUGACCAGGUGCAGGAAUCUACUCCCCCGGAAACGGGCCUGAAGAAGUGACCCUACGUCGUUAAAAGGAUCGGGAACUGGAAAACCAGACUCCCAUCCUUUCUGCUGUAU